rnacentral:lncRNA from 1 species
CCCACUAACAUCGGUCGACAGAAGUCACCCAAAACCGAACGAUAUCCUCUCCUAGACAUCGAUCGACAACACCUACGGAGUCAACCGCAUCUUGCAAUGCCGUAAGGAUCAUGACUCACGAGAAGAUCGCAGCAAAACACCCACAUCCGCCCAGCCCUGUCUACAUAAACAUCGAUCGACAUUCGCCAUCGAUCGACAUCAAGAGACCGUCAUCGAUCGACAUCAGGAGACCGUAAUCGAUCGAUAACAACGAGCGCCCAUCGAUUGACGAGCACCUAUU